GGCUUAGUGGCUUAGUGGUUAGUACAUGUGCCUUACACCUACAGGAUUGGAGGUUCAAAUCCCGCCUCUGCCC